rnacentral:lncRNA from 1 species
UUCUAAUGCCCAUGCCCUCAAAUGCACUUUCUCCUUUCUACCUGUAAUCCCAUUACUCCAGCCCGCUUCGUUUCCAGAAUGAAUGAGUGAAAGUAUGUUUUCCUAACUAAAUGCAUUCUAACAAAACGGGUAAAUCAGAUGUCAUCAACACACAUCAAAGUUGGAAAUUUGCAAGGUGUGCUGUUUCAGUGGAAUCUAUGAAUUUGUUGUGUGUGUAUGCGUGCACAUGGAAGACAGGUUGAUGUUGGGCAUCUCCCUAAUCUUUCUCUACUUUUUUUUUUUUUUUUUUUUGAGACAGGGUUUCUCAUUAAGCUCACUGAUUCACUGAUUUGGGUACACGUAAUGACUGAUGCUCUUCACGGGUUCUCUGUCUAUGUUUCCUCAUUGCUAGGCUUAUAGGCACACUAUGACACAGCCAGCUUUAUAUUUGCGCACUGGGAAUCAGAUCAGCUCAGACUCAGGUCUUCAUACUGAGUGGCAAGUACUUCAGAGACUGAAUCACCCUGCCCCGGGCCCAAUUUACAAAAUCUUUAUAUAAAACAAAUCCUCAAUCACUAGUUUACCAUUUAUAGAAACUUGAAUUUUUUUUUAAAGCAACUUGCUUAGUUUAAAACAGAAAACACCCUGAAUUCUAUCUGGUGUACAUUAGUGAGGAAAGAGUCCCUCACAGCAUUUUCUGAUUAGGGCUUUUGCCUUGAGGCCUUAACAUUUUUUCUUUGGGCCUUAAUUAUUUCCAUAUUCCAGUAUGUAUUGUUUUGGUCAUAUUGGAAUUAUCCCUUAUUAGCUGGUUUUUUUUCAAUUUACCUCCCAGGGAUCUCAGGCAAGAAAUACAAAUAUUUUCAUAAGAUUCUUUGAGGGAGUAAAAUUAAUAGUUUUGAGAAUGAAAAUAUGGUGACCUGUCUCCUAAGGAUUGGAAGACUUUAUUAAGAUAGCAAGAUAUUCUUCCCCAGGGUAAAGGUUUUUGUAUUUUUUUCAAAGGGCUUAAUGGAAAUAUGGAAAGAGUAAGCGGGAAUUUAAUACCAUGAAGUUGUAAACAGCCCCUGAAAUUCAGUCUGUUUUAGAACACACAUAACAAGUUCAUUCUCAGAGAUUUGAGACGUCUCCGCUCUCUUCCCAAGGCUGUCAGAAUCAUUGUAACAGUGACACAGAAAGGUCCCUGUGUGGGGACACGGCAUGGCAGUUUCCAUGAAUGGGACUAUUUUCUGUGCCUCAAAGUGGGUGGGCAUCCUGUAGGGUGCCUUCUUGAGUUCCUUAAUUCAAAGUCUACUUGUCCUGAAGUGAGGAAGGACGCUGCAGGGAGACUCAGCCAUUCCCAAAUGAUUGUGCCUCCGUAGCACAAGGGACCCAGCAGAGACGCACACAGAGAACCUCUGGAGGGACAGGGCUCAUUGGGGGGUUGGGUGUUUCCUCAGUCCUAAUCAGCCUUCAGAGAUAUAAUGAGACCCACACGGAAAUUACAACAUUUUCCCAAGUACUCAGAUCAGGAAGAAAACAAAAAUCUGUCGGAAAUGUGUGGCCGGCCAAGUCUGAACACAGACUUGAUUAGUUGGGGGCUUUCCUAGGGAAGCAGAGAAGGUAGAGUCCAGUGCUGUGAGCGUGUCUCCACAGAGAUCCUCUGUGCCAUAUUUUUUCUGUUCCUUGCUGUUACACUAAUGUGAAGGCUUUUCAGAUGCAUCUUAAUGUAGACGGUGUCUCCCAGUAGCCUGUCUGGCUGAUUCCUUCCUGUCAUUUAGAGGAUAAAGGUAAGACUGAGGGUGGAGAAAUCUAGUCAUUUUAGCCUGAUGUGUGACCCUGGGGCUAUGUCCUUGUCCUUAAAGACCUCCUGGUUUAGCCCAGGGCUGGUGAGCUGGGGUGUCACUGUGGCAAACGGAUCACCAUGGAGACAUACGAGGGAAGAAUGAACUCCCCCCAGCUGAGGAAGGCAUCCCAGACCUGUGACAAACAAAUUGGGCUGUGAAGAUUUUGCCAGAGGAUGGCAGGCAGAGAUAAGCAUAGGCAGAUGAAGAGGGGUGGGAGCUCUGAGUGUGAUCAGGAAGCAGUGGUUUGGAGAGACUUGGACAGGAGGUGUAGUGAGGCAGGUGAAGUCAGUUGUGACUGUCCUGAGUACCAUGUGCCUGCUCCACCCUCUCCCCUGUGCACAUACAUGUCUGUGUAAAUAUGUGUACUGCUGACGCCUGAACUGUUGACUGAUAGCAAAGUCUCCGGCAAACAUUCCGCUACUGCUGGGACAGCUUAGGUCCAUGGUGGUGAUGGUGCUUAGCAUGUCCGUGUGGGGUUUCUGGGAAAGCUUUGGGUGUGAGACUCAGGCUUUGUAACUGGUGGUUGGUGAGUGAUCUGUGUGGCUGUGGGUGCUUCCUUGAAGGCAUGACCAUGAAGGUGGUCAAUAUUACAUAUGAACUAUCAUAGUGUCCAUUUUCCGUGUGAUUUCUAUCUCUCCAAGUCUCAGCUGUUUGGUAUUUUGUUAGUAUUCAUCUAUAUUUAAAGAUCUACAUUUAAAAAAAUUCAUGUGUAUGUAUAUCUCCUUGCAUGAGUUUAUACAUACCAAAGCGUAAAAGGACUGGAGGAAGCUGUUAGGGCCCAUGAGACUGGAAUUACAAGCUGCCGUGAACCACCUGAUACAGGUGCUAGGAACCGAACCGGAGUCCUCUGCAAGAGCAGUGCUCUGUGCACUUUUAAUGGCAGAGCCAUCUCUCCAGCCCCACAUUUAGCUAUGUUUAAUAGCACAUAGGAUUAACUGCUGAUUUUUCUUAAUUCCUUGACAGUAGCUGCCUCUCACUCACGCUGGAUGUCGGGCCAUUGGCCAUGCUCUUAGAAUCUCAUAGGCAUGGACUGAGGGAAGUAACAGAACCAUACACCAACAUCCAAGCUUCCUCAUACUUCACUGCACAGCUGAGCCCCUUUCCUCAAGCGCCACAUCCUUCCAUAUCUGACAAAAUAGCUAACUACCUAGGGCUAGAAACUCGAUGUGUGGUGUCCAGGCUGUGGGGCCAUUGCUCAGAAUGAUGAGGAGCAGGAGUUGGACCUCCCAGUCUCUUUUCAGAUCCUCUGAGGAUGGUAGAUCAAGUCCCAUCAUCCCACACUUGGGCUGACGGAACUCCUGCUGCACAGUUGAAACCACCCAUAAAGUCUGCGGAUCUAGCCCAGUGGCAGAGGGCUUGCUUAGCAUACGCUACUCCCCCAGGCUCUGUCCGAGAACCACAACAAACAAAACACUGCACACAAGAUUUUGCCUUUGUCCAGUCUCACAAAGGCUCUUAAGAGGCUGCUCUGGAACAAGGAGACACCUUGCUCAUUUCCUAGCCCCAGCCAGUGCACUCAGGGCUUCCCCUCUCGGGAGUCCCUGCUUCCUUUGUAACAUUUGUAGAGUGUACCGCCCUCCCCCCACUCCGCCCCCUGGAAUUCCCCGUUCCUCUCUAGAUUCACUUUUAUUCCAGAUUUUGAAAUUGCAAUUUGGGAUAUGUUUCCAUGAUGAUUGCACAACAUAAAAAGACUUAAUAUUUUACACCAAGAAUAAAUACAUGAGAAAAUGCCUUGAGCAGUUGAGUAAUGUGACCACUGACUCCUGCGUCUUUCAGUGAAUCACUGUCAGUUACUGAAUGAAUGAGAAUAGUUCAUUGUAAUAAAUUGCUCCAGCAGCCAGAUGAGACGAGGUCCCUCCUCUGUACCGUUCUCAGUCAUUCUCUCCAAUAUAAGAGUGAGCGCCAAGGUAAACAGGAUACUUCCUCAGCCUUGGGUUUGGCACCCAAUAAUUCAGUGUGCUUUUUGGCUGAGUACAGACAGCCUCCUCCGUGCACAGGGACAUGGCCCUUGAAUUUGAGGUAACUUCCCUUCAGUGUUCUGGUCUUGAGUGCUCUUACAAUAACAACCCCAGAUCUUGGUUUGAUGUAGUCCUCUACCAUGGUCAUUAUUUCUUCCAACAGCAUGUUGGUUAUUGAAAAGAACCAAUCGAGAAACCUGGUUCUGAGGAUGGGCAAGAAUUUUGUUAUUUUUUUUUUAUAUUAGGAGGCAAAAAUGUAUGGGAGAUCCAGGCUGGCAGAAAACAGGCUGAUAAGAAAUCCAGUGGUCCCUAGUGGCUGGCGAGCCACUUUGUCAUUGGGUUCCUGUUCUGCUGUUGGUUGUACGAUUGUCACUGUAUUUUUAAACUUAGAAAUUUAACCACAGUGAAUUUUAAUAUCCAUUGCCUAAGAACCAAUACUUCUAUCUGUAUUCUGACAUAUUCUACCUAAAAGAAAAGGCCUUGAAUCUUUGUGGAUUCAAAUUUAGGAAUAUUUUUCUUCAUUAUCCGAGUAUCCAAGAGAGCUGUGGUGAUCUGGAUGGAGAAUCCCAGUUGAAGAUUUGCCAGAUUCUGGGUCUCCUCCUUGAGCUAGAAGUACUUUAGAUACAUGAGUGAUUUUGAAGAUGUUUCAUAAGAGACCAAGACCAAGCCAGCUAAACUAGAAUGGCUCUAAAAGUCUAGAAUUCCUGACCAAGCUUUUCAAAAUGGUGUUCCAGGGAGAUGUUUUCUCUGCUUCUAUAAGCAUAUCUGUUAAUGACUGAACAGAGUGGCAGGCUUAAUUUUUUUGUUAUUAUUGCAGGACUGUGCAGAGAAUUCAGCAUGUAUGCGGUGGCUCUUUAAAGGUCAUAUACAGGACUCAGUUUUUGUCCUGAGAUCCCUUUGGUCUUAGAGGGACAUUGGCCACAUCCCCGUAACUCAUGUCAUUUGGACACAGUUGGGGAAUGCUGCCAUGGAUUGAUUUAAAAUGGCCACAGAGUCUUUUCCAGCUCUUCCUGUCUCCCACUAGUUCGUCUUAUGUCUCUCACACUUGAGUCUGGGGCCCUCCUUGUGACUUCAUGGAUACGAUGUGACACAAGUGUUGUAUGAAUUUCAGAGUCUCACUCUUUUUUUUUUUGGGGGGGGGGGGUUCAAGACAGGGUUUCUCUGUAUAGCCCUGGCUGUCCUGGAACUCACUUUGUAGACCAGGCUGGCCUCGAACUCAGAAAUCCGCCUGCCUCUGCCUCCCGAGUGCUGGGAUUAAAGGUGUGUGCCACCACGGCCGGCUCCAGAGUCUCACUCUUAAUGGCAUUGGGACCUCUACUUCUGCCCUCUUGAACUGUAGCUGAGACCUACAUUUCUCUUGAAAAAGAAGUUGGCCUAGCCUCAGGAUGAGGUAUAUCUACGAACAGAACACCCUUGAAUACAGGGUUGAGGCUUCCGUGACCAGGCUAGCACGGUGAGCCUACCUGAACCCCCACCAACGGCUCUGAAACCAGACAGAAGGGAAAAAGAAUACCAUUCAAAAAUCUUAUGUGGUACUUUCUAGAAUUCUCUGGUUUUAAACUAGAUUUCUAAACAAGGGAUUUUCCAGAACUCUAAGUCUAGUGAAUAGUUAACCAGAACAUAAUAUGUUUGGCAUGUGC